GAUGAACGCUGGCGGCGUGCCUAAUACAUGCAAGUCGAGCGAACGGACGAGAAGCUUGCUUCUCUGAUGUUAGCGGCGGACGGGUGAGUAACACGUGGAUAACCUACCUAUAAGACUGGGAUAACUUCGGGAAACCGGAGCUAAUACCGGAUAAUAUUUUGAACCGCAUGGUUCAAAAGUGAAGGACGGUCUUGCUGUCACUUAUAGAUGGAUCCGCGCUGCAUUAGCUAGUUGGUAAGGUAACGGCUUACCAAGGCAACGAUGCAUAGCCGACCUGAGAGGGUGAUCGGCCACGCUGGAACUGAGACACGGUCCAGACUCCUACGGGAGGCAGCAGUAGGGAAUCUUCCGCAAUGGGCGAAAGCCUGACGGAGCAACGCCGCGUGAGUGAUGAAGGUCUUCGGAUCGUAAAACUCUGUUAUUAGGGAAGAACAUAUGUGUAAGUAACUGUGCACAUCUUGACGGUACCUAAUCAGAAAGCCACGGCUAACUACGUG
rnacentral:rRNA from 1 species